rnacentral:rRNA from 1 species
GCGAACGCUGGCGGCAGGCCUAACACAUGCAAGUCGAGCGGCAGCGCGGGGCAACCUGGCGGCGAGCGGCGGACGGGUGAGUAACGCGUAGGAAUCUACCCAGUAGCGGGGGAUAGCCCGGGGAAACUCGGAUUAAUACCGCAUACGCCCUAAGGGGGAAAGCAGGGGAUCGUAAGACCUUGCACUAUUGGAAGAGCCUGCGUUGGAUUAGCUAGUUGGUAGGGUAAAGGCCUACCAAGGCGACGAUCCAUAACUGGUCUGAGAGGAUGAUCAGUCACACCGGAACUGAGACACGGUCCGGACUCCUACGGGAGGCAGCAGUGGGGAAUAUUGGACAAUGGGGGCAACCCUGAUCCAGCCAUGCCGCGUGUGUGAAGAAGGCCUUCGGGUUGUAAAGCACUUUAAGUGGGGAGAAAGGUUCGGCAGCUAAUACCUGCCGGAAGUGAUGUUACCCACAGAAUAAGCACCGGCUAACUCUGUGCCAGCCGCCGCCGUAA